CUUCCAAAUACUUUGCGUGGUUCUCCCCACUUCUAUGGAGGGUAAAUACAUGAAGUUCAAAUCUGGGGACAGGAGGAAAGCACCUGAAAGGGCCAGAUGAGAGGAGCAAUCUCAGUCAUCUAGGAAUGGUCAGAACAAAGGGAACUUGGGCAGGGUCUCGCUAUGUAGCUCAAGCUGGCUAUGAACUUCCCCUGUUGCUCUAGCUGCCCUGAACACGAAUACCUUCUCCUGCCUCAGCCGCCGGAGUCCUGGGAGCGCGGGUGCGACACACCACGCCUGGCUCACAUUUACUUGAGUCUGUGGAGCACGAGCUGAGGAAGACCGCUAUUUUGACCUAAACGGUUCCGCUAACAACAAAAGGCAAUAAACAGAUUCGAAGUCUAGGCUGGCCCUGCACUCACUGUGGAGCCCGGGCCGGCCUCGAUCUCCUGCCUCAGGCUCCCGCGCACUGGGAUU